rnacentral:rRNA from 1 species
GUGGGGAAUAUUGGGCAAUGGGGGCAACCCUGACCCAGCGACGCCGCGUGGGUGAAGAAAUCCCUCGGGAUGUAAAGCCCUGUUGUAUGGGAAGAGCAGAAGACGGUACCAUACGAGGAAGCCCCGGCAAACUACGUGCCAGCAGCCGCGGUAAUACGUAGGGGGCAAGCGUUGUCCGGAAUUACUGGGCGUAAAGCGCACGCAGGCUGAAUUAUAAGUCGGUAGUCAAAUACGGAGGCUCAACUUCCGGAUAUCUAUCGAUACUGUAAAUCUAGAGUAUGUGAGAGGGAAGCGGAAUUCCCGGUGUAGCGGUGAAUUGCGUAGAUAUCGGGAGGAACACCAGUGGCGAAGGCGGCUUCCUGGCACAAUACUGACGCUCAUGUGCGAAAGCUAGGGCAGCGAACGGGAUUAGAUACCCUAGUAGUCC